GAUGAACGCUGGCGGCGUGCCUAAUACAUGCAAGUCGAGCGAAUGGAUUGAGAGCUUGCUCUUAUGAAGUUAGCGGCGGACGGGUGAGUAACACGUGGGUAACCUGCCCAUAAGACUGGGAUAACUCCGGGAAACCGGGGCUAAUACCGGAUAACAUUUUGAACCGCCUGGUUCGAAAUUGAAAGGCGGCUUCGGCUGGCACGGAUGGAGGGACCCGCGGCGCAUUAGCUAGUUGGUGAGGUAACGGCUCACCAAGGCAACGAUGCGUAGCCGACCUGAGAGGGUGAUCGGCCACACUGGGACUGAGACACGGCCCAGACUCCUACGGGAGGCAGCAGUAGGGAAUCUUCCGCAAUGGACGAAAGUCUGACGGAGCAACGCCGCGUGAGUGAUGAAGGCUUUCGGGUCGUAAAACUCUGUUGUUAGGGAAGAACAAGUGCUAGUUGAAUAAGCUGGCACCUUGACGGUACCUAACCAGAAAGCCACGGCUAACUACGUGCCAGCCGCCGCAGUAA
rnacentral:rRNA from 1 species